rnacentral:rRNA from 1 species
UGGGGAAUAUUGGACAAUGGGCGCAAGCCUGAUCCAGCCAUGCCGCGUGAGUGAUGAAGGCCUUAGGGUUGUAAAGCUCUUUCGCCAGGGACGAUAAUGACGGUACCUGGAUAAGAAGCCCCGGCUAACUUCGUGCCAGCAGCCGCGGUAAUACGAAGGGGGCUAGCGUUGUUCGGAAUUACUGGGCGUAAAGCGCAUGCAGGUGGAUCGCUAAGUCAGGGGUGAAAGCCCGAGGCUCAACCUCGGAACUGCCUUUGAUACUGGCGAUCUUGAGUCCGGGAGAGGUGAGUGGAACUCCGAGUGUAGAGGUGAAAUUCGUAGAUAUUCGGAAGAACACCAGUGGCGAAGGCGGCUCACUGGCCCGGUACUGACACUGAGAUGCGAAAGCGUGGGGAGCAGACAGGAUUAGAUACCCUGGUAGUCCACGCCGUAAACGAUGGGUGCUAGCCGUCAGCCAGCAUGCUGG